ACGUAGGGAGCAAGCGUUGUCCGGAUUUACUGGGCGUAAAGCGCGCGUAGGCGGACGCUUAAGUGUGGCCUGAAAGCCCCCGGCUCAACCGGGGAGGGUGGCUGCAAACUGGGCGUCUUGAGGGGGAUAGAGGAGAGUGGAAUUCCCGGUGUAGCGGUGAAAUGCGUAGAUAUCGGGAGGAACAUCAGUGGCGAAGGCGGCUACCUGGCCCAAUACUGACACUCAGGUGCGACAGCGUGGGGAGCAAACAGGA
rnacentral:rRNA from 1 species